CCCCCCCCCAGCGGAGGCUGCUUGCUGCGAAGAUUCCAGGCUUUCUCCCAUCCCCCACAGUGACCAGACCAGUUCUACAAACCUCGCCGGACCCACGGUGAUAAAAUUCAGACACAAGCAAAUGAAUUGAGGAGAGAAGAACAGAACAGCACUUUACUGACACAAAAAAGAUGAGAAAGCUGUCACUAUUUUUGAAGACCUAUACUUGACAACUGUAACAAGAUGUGGACAGAAGAGAUGAAGAAGUCCUAAAGAUUACCAAGCUGAAACUUAAGUGCUCUCCUGAGACCUUACCUGGCAUAAGGCUUUCAACCUUGUGACCCACAUCAUAAAAAGGACAUGGACCUUGAGGAAGAGGAGAACCAUCAGGAUAUGCAGAGGGCUGGAGGAACUCUCCUACAAAAGAAAAUGAAAGAGUUGGAGUUAUUCAGCCUAGAGAAGAGAAGGCCCUAGGGAGGCAUUUUAAAGGCCUUCCAGUACCUAAAGGGGCCUACAGAAAAG
ensembl:lncRNA